rnacentral:rRNA from 1 species
UGUGUGUUAGUGGAAGCGUCUGGAAAGGCGCGCGAUACAGGGUGACAGCCCCGUACACAAAAAUGCACAUGCUGUGAGCUCGAUGAGUAGGGCGGGACACGUGGUAUCCUGUCUGAAUAUGGGGGGACCAUCCUCCAAGGCUAAAUACUCCUGACUGACCGAUAGUGAACCAGUACCGUGAGGGAAAGGCGAAAAGAACCCCGGCGAGGGGAGUGAAAAAGAACCUGAAACCGUGUACGUACAAGCAGUGGGAGCACGCUUAGGCGUGUGACUGCGUACCUUUUGUAUAAUGGGUCAGCGACUUAUAUUCUGUAGCAAGGUUAACCGAAUAGGGGAGCCGAAGGGAAACCGAGUCUUAACUGGGCGUUAAGUUGCAGGGUAUAGACCCGAAACCCGGUGAUCUAGCCAUGGGCAGGUUGAAGGUUGGGUAACACUAACUGGAGGACCGAACCGACUAAUGUUGAAAAAUUAGCGGAUGACUUGUGGCUGGGGGUGAAAGGCCAAUCAAACCGGGAGAUAGCUGGUUCUCCCCGAAAGCUAUUUAGGUAGCGCCUCGUGAAUUCAUCUCCGGGGGUAGAGCACUGUUUCGGCAAGGGGGUCAUCCCGACUUACCAACCCGAUGCAAACUGCGAAUACCGGAGAAUGUUAUCACGGGAGACACACGGCGGGUGCUAACGUCCGUCGUGAAGAGGGAAACAACCCAGACCGCCAGCUAAGGUCCCAAAGUCAUGGUUAAGUGGGAAACGAUGUGGGAAGGCCCAGACAGCCAGGAUGUUGGCUUAGAAGCAGCCAUCAUUUAAAGAAAGCGUAAUAGCUCACUGGUCGAGUCGGCCUGCGCGGAAGAUGUAACGGGGCUAAACCAUGCACCGAAGCUGCGGCAGCGACGCUGAUGCGUUGUUGGGUAGGGGAGCGUUCUGUAAGCCUGCGAAGGUGUGCUGUGAGGCAUGCUGGAGGUAUCAGAAGUGCGAAUGCUGACAUAAGUAACGAUAAAGCGGGUGAAAAGCCCGCUCGCCGGAAGACCAAGGGUUCCUGUCCAACGUUAAUCGGGGCAGGGUGAGUCGACCCCUAAGGCGAGGCCGAAAGGCGUAGUCGAUGGGAAACAGGUUAAUAUUCCUGUACUUGGUGUUACUGCGAAGGGGGGACGGAGAAGGCUAUGUUGGCCGGGCGACGGUUGUCCCGGUUUAAGCGUGUAGGCUGGUUUUCCAGGCAAAUCCGGAAAAUCAAGGCUGAGGCGUGAUGACGAGGCACUACGGUGCUGAAGCAACAAAUGCCCUGCUUCCAGGAAAAGCCUCUAAGCAUCAGGUAACAUCAAAUCGUACCCCAAACCGACACAGGUGGUCAGGUAGAGAAUACCAAGGCGCUUGAGAGAACUCGGGUGAAGGAACUAGGCAAAAUGGUGCCGUAACUUCGGGAGAAGGCACGCUGAUAUGUAGGUGAAGUCCCUCGCGGAUGGAGCUGAAAUCAGUCGAAGAUACCAGCUGGCUGCAACUGUUUAUUAAAAACACAGCACUGUGCAAACACGAAAGUGGACGUAUACGGUGUGACGCCUGCCCGGUGCCGGAAGGUUAAUUGAUGGGGU